CCAACGAGUGGCGGACGGGUGAGUAACACGUAGGUAACCUGCCCAGAAGCGGGGGACAACAUUUGGAAACAGAUGCUAAUGCCGCAUAACAGCGUUGUUCGCAUGAACAACGCUUAAAAGAUGGCUUCUCGCUAUCACUUCUGGAUGGACCUGCGGUGCAUUAGCUUGUUGGUGGGGUAACGGCCUACCAAGGCGAUGAUGCAUAGCCGAGUUGAGAGACUGAUCAGCCACAAUGGGACUGAGACACGGCCCAUACUCCUACGGGAGGCAGCAGUAGGGAAUCUUCCACAAUGGGCGCAAGCCUGAUGGAGCAACACCGCGUGAGUGAAGAAGGGUUUCGGCUCGUAAAGCUCUGUUGUUAAAGAAGAACACGUAUGAGAGUAACUGUUCAUACGUUGACGGUAUUUAACCAGAAAGUCACGGCUAACUACGUGCCAGCAGCCGCGGUAAUACGUAGGUGGCAAGCGUUAUCCGGAUUUAUUGGGCGUAAAGAGAGUGCAGGCGGUUUUCUAAGUCUGAUGUGAAAGCCUUCGGCUUAACCGGAGAAGUGCAUCGGAAACUGGAUAACUUGAGUGCAGAAGAGGGUAGUGGAACUCCAUGUGUAGCGGUGGAAUGCGUAGAUAUAUGGAAGAACACCAGUGGCGAAGGCGGCUACCUGGUCUGCAACUGACGCUGAGACUCGAAAGCAUGGGUAGCGAACAGGAUUAGAUACCCUGGUAGUCCAUGCCGUAAACGAUGAGUGC
rnacentral:rRNA from 1 species